rnacentral:tRNA from 1 species
GCCGGGAUGGCGGAAUGGUAGACGCGGUGGACUCAAAAUCCACUGGGCGCAAGCUCGUGGGGGUUCAAGUCCCCCUCCCGGUA